AACUGUGGGUGUCCCUUUAAAUUGUCAUGAAAGCAUCAGUUGUCCAAUCAGAUACAUGCAAGACUAUAUAAAAGGGGACUUUUAAUGCACCAUGUUGUGUGAUUACCGCUUGUGUGUCAUUGCCCGAGGCCCGCCCCUUCCUGGUUUAGACUCUUCCUGUCUCACAGGUAUGUGCUUGCUAGCAAGUGUGUAUCAACGUGUGUGUUUGUGGUAACUAGCGUUAUUUGAAUUAUAGUUUCCAACGUGUAAUCAUUCCAUGUGGCUCGGCGACUGCUUUUAAACAUGAACCCGCCGUAAUCCUGUGCCUUCUUGCCGGUUUGAUGUCCAUUUGCCUGUGCGGCUGGACUUGUGGUCGAAACGACAAUAUUAAGGAACCGAGGCUUCAGGCAGACGGCUAGUUGGCCUUGGCGUGCGGUGGUGGGACUCUAUCACAGGGUGCAGUGUGUUCACGCUUGGUCUUACCGUGUUUGUGUGUGUGUGUGUGUGUGUGUGUGUGUGUGUGUGUGUGUGUGUGUGUGUGUGUGUUGCUCUUGUGCAUUUGGUGUUAUGCUCCUGGCGAUAUAGUAGCCGCAUACUCAUUAGGCUAGUUUACCUGCUUUAGGUAAGCCUCGGUUUCCUUUUAUGCCUAUUUUAUUCCAGCCUAUGUUUUAAAAGUAAUAUUUAUUGUGAAAUAAAACAUUUUUUGUAUCUUUGGUA